rnacentral:snoRNA from 1 species
UUACAUUUGAAAAUACUUGUUCCUCAUUUCUUAGGAAGCAGGACUACAUUCAUAACAUGCUCUGUUAAAAAAAAAAAAAAGGAGUUCUCAGGGCUGCCGACCUUACAGUAGAGGUUAAUAGUGUUAUAUUUCUCCCACUGAA